rnacentral:rRNA from 1 species
GACGAACGCUGGCGGCGUGCCUAAUACAUGCAAGUUGAGCGCUGAAGGUUGGUACUUGUACCAACUGGAUGAGCAGCGAACGGGUGAGUAACGCGUGGGGAAUCUGCCUUUUAGCGGGGGACAACAUUUGGAAACGAAUGCUAAUACCGCAUAAAAACUUUAAACACAAGUUUUAAGUUUGAAAGAUGCAAUUGCAUCACUCAAAGAUGAUCCCGCGUUGUAUUAGCUAGUUGGUGAGGUAAAGGCUCACCAAGGCGAUGAUACAUAGCCGACCUGAGAGGGGGGACGGCCACAUUGGGACUGGGACACGACCCAAGCUCCUACGGGAGGCAGCAGUAGGGAAUCUUCGGCAAUGGACGAAAGUCUGACCGAGCAACGCCGCGUGAGUGAAGAAGGUUUUCGGAUCGUAAGACUCUGUUGGUAGAGGAGAGCGUUGGUGAGAGUGGAAAGCUCAUCAAGUGACGGUAACUACCCAGAAAGGGACGGCUAACUACGUG